GCUCAAUUGGUAGAGCAACUGACUUGUAAUCAGUAGGUUGGGGGUUCAAUCCAUUGCUCUACCA
rnacentral:tRNA from 1 species